rnacentral:rRNA from 1 species
GCAUAUCAAUAAGCGGAGGAAAAGAAACUAACAAGGAUUCCCUUAGUAACGGCGAGUGAAGAGGGAAGAGCUCAAAUUUUAAAUCUAUCAUGUUGUACAUGAUCGAGUUGUAAUUUGAAGAAGCGUUUUCUCGUACUUUAUGAUCAGUAUAAGUUCUCUUGGAACAGGACAUCAUAGAGGGUGAUAAUCCCGUCUGUUACUGAUUGUGAGGUCCGUUUAUGAUACGCUUUCAAAGAGUCGAGUUGUUUGGGAUUGCAGCUCCAAAUGGAUGGUAAACAUCACCUAAGGCUAAAUAUUUGCGAGAGACCGAUAGCGAACAAGUACCGUGAGGGAAAGAUGAAAAGAACUUUGAAAAGAGAGUUAAAAAGUAUGUGAAAUUGUUGAAAGGGAAACGAUUGAAGUCAGUCGUGCAGUCAUCAAUUCAGCGGUUAACAUUUUAUGUUUCCGUGUAAUUUGGUGUCUGUUGGUUAGCAUCAAUUUUGAUUGUUAUAAAAAGGUUAAGGGGAUGUGGCUCCUUCGGGAGUGUUAUAACCCUUAGCGUAAUGUGACGAUUAGGAUUGAGGUUUGCAACGAAUACCUUUUAGGGCAGUUUCACCUGGCCUCUCGUGGAAUUAUAGAUAGUUAAGAGCAUGCUCUUACUGUUUAUGAUUCUACGAAAAGGUUGGAGUGUAAAACUAAUUCGUUAAGGAUGUUGACGUA